GUUGCGUGGAGGGACCGACAUCGGCGCGGCUCCUCCGUUUGCGUGCGGAGCGGCGGGACGCGUUUGGGGCGCACGGUGUGCGGCUCGCGGCUGCACGUUGUUCCGCGCUGACAGCCGAUCUCCGCCUUGGUAACUUUUGAAACGGGACAAUUGGGGUUUUUGACAUGGCUGGGUUUGGAAGAGUUGCUUCUGUGGCAAGAAUAUACUUGGCCUCAGUGACCUACUGCCACGUAUCUGCUCUCUGGUGGAAAGCAUGAAAAUAUUGAUGUUUCCAAGCGGGUAGAAAAAAAGCGCUUUUUAACUGUUCUUGGAAAUGACUGAGCCAUUUCUGCUGGCUGUGGAUGUCCUACAGAAAGGAAUAAAUCCAGGAUAAGCGCUUCCAGAUUCCCAGUUCAGCCUUCAUUUAUUGGAGGACAAGCAACAUUACUGUGGUGUCACAAGUCAACCUUUCAGACUACUUUGUAAGAAGAUGAGGAACAAAAAGCAGUGCAUUCAAGAUACAGAAGGUCAAAAGCACGAAGGCAUGGAAGGUGAAGAAAUGGAAGAAAGCUGUUCCUGUUCUACUUUAUUACAUGACGGUGACACAUGCCCCAUCUGUCUGAACUGCCUUCUGGAACAGGAGAUUGGUUUUCCUGAGAACUGUAGUCAUGCUUUCUGCAUGACUUGUAUUCUUAAAUGGGCUGAGGUAAGACUGAGAAGCAAAGUGUGUGUUGUGUGUGU